AACGAACGCUAGUGGUAUGCUUAACACAUGCAAGUCGAACGAAGAGAAAUCUUAGUGGCAAACGGGUGAGUAAUGUACAGGAAUUUACCUUUUGGAGGGGGACAACCAUUGGAAACGAUGGCUAAUACCGCAUAAGUUGGAAACAAGAAAGGCGCAAGCCGCCAAUUGAUAAGCCUGUAUCCGAUUAGCUAGUUGGUAGGGUAAAGGCCUACCAAGGCAAAGAUCGGUAGCUGGUCUGAGAGGAUGAUCAGCCACACUGGGACUGAGACACGGCCCAGACUCCUACGGGAGGCAGCAGUGAGGAAUAUUGGACAAUGGGCGAAAGCCUGAUCCAGCAAUACCACGUGAGUGAUGACGGCCUAAUGGGUUGUAAAACUCUUUUCUUAGAGAAGAUGAUGACGGUAUCUAAGGAAUAAGCACCGACUAACUACG
rnacentral:rRNA from 1 species